CGGGGAAUAUUGGUCAAUGGACGCAAGUCUGAACCAGCCAUGCCGCGUGAAGGAUGACUGCCCUCUGGGUUGUAAACUUCUUUUAUCUGGGACGAAAAAGGGCCAUUCAUGGUCAACUGACGGUACCAGAGGAAUAAGCACCGGCUAACUCCGUGCCAGCAGCCGCGGUAAUACGGAGGGUGCAAGCGUUAUCCGGAUUUACUGGGUUUAAAGGGAGCGCAGGCGGAUUAGUAAGUCAGUGGUGAAAGCCUUGAGCUUAACUCGAGAACUGCCAUUGAUACUAUUAGUCUUGAAUGUUGUUGAGGUUUGCGGAAUGGGUCAUGUAGCGGUGAAAUGCAUAGAUAUGACCCGGAACACCUAUUGCGAAGGCAGCAGGCUAAACAAAUAUUGACGCUGAGGCUCGAAAGCGUGGGGAUCAAAC
rnacentral:rRNA from 1 species